rnacentral:rRNA from 1 species
UACGUAGGUCCCGAACGUUACGCGAAUUUAAUGGGCGUAAAGGGUCCGUAGGCGGUUUUGCAAGUGGUUUGUGAAAUUUCACGGCUCAACCGUGAAACUGCCUUCCAAACUGCUAAACUUGAGGCAGGGAGAGGUCGGCGGAAUUACCGGUGUAGCGGUGAAAUGCGUAGAUAUCGGGAGGAACACCAGUGGCGAAGGCGGCUGACUGGAACUGUCCUGACGCUGAGGGACGAAAGCUAGGGGAGCAAACCGG